CCUACGGGAGGCAGCAGUGGGGAAUCUUGCGCAAUGGGCGAAAGCCUGACGCAGCGACGCCGCGUGCGGGAAGAAGCUCUUCGGGGUGUAAACCGCUGUCAGAGGGGAAGAAGUCCGGGGGGAGGAAAUGCCUUCCGGUUGACGGUACCCUCAGAGGAAGCACCGGCUAACUCUGUGCCAGCAGCCGCGGUAAUACAGAGGGUGCGAGCGUUGUUCGGAAUUACUGGGCGUAAAGCGCGCGCAGGCGGCCCUUUAAGUCUGCCGGUCAAACGCCGGGGCUCAACCCCGUGCUCGCCGGAGAUACUGGGGGGCUGGAGACAGGUAGAGGCGAGUGGAAUUCCGGGUGUAGCGGUGGAAUGCGUAGAGAUCCGGAAGAACACCGGAGGCGAAGGCGGCUCGCUGGGCCUGGUCUGACGCUGAGGCGCGAAAGCGUGGGGAGC
rnacentral:rRNA from 1 species